UGCUGAGAUUCACCAGUCCAUCAUAAGCUAUGUAAAACACAUAAAUAUAUGGAGGGCAUUAUGACGUUUGUUUUUCAUUUGUAUUGUAUAAGAGUAAACCAGAGUAACAAACAAAAUAUAAAAAAGUUAAUUGUUCCAAAAAAAAAAAUACCAAGACUUAAGCUGCUGCUACUUAAUCGAUGAAUCUCUCUCAUCUCAUCUCAUACUCCAGUUUGGUAAUUGCUGCUGCUGAGACGAAGAAGAAGAAGAAGAAGAAAAGCGGUCAGCCAGUCACUGCCACUGCCUGCAAGCAAUUUUUCAUAAACUUGUAAUUCUUCUGUCAUCAUUUGUCGUCACUCUCUUCUUCUUCCUUUCGGGCUGCCGAUGCAGAGGGCGGUGCUGCUGAGGCUGAAACACCCCAACUCCAUCUUUAUUUAAAAAUUGUUUUAAAGCCUUAAUUGGUGAGUCCGUGGGGCGUUUUAUUUUUUUUGUGUUUUCCGGUCUCUCUCUCCUCUCUCAGUUCUCUCUCUUCCUCUCACCCGAGCUCUCUCUCCCUCGUCUAUCUCCUUCCCGUCCUCCCAUGAGCACAUACCUAUCACCACACUACCCUCUCCGACGUCAACGGCUUCAUCAUCAUCAUCAUCAUCAAUUCGUUCUCCCUCUCUCAGUUACUGCGAGGACAGCAAAACCCGUACACGAUGCUCCGACGCAGACUGCCCCUUUCGAGGCCAUUUACGGCCAAACCACGGCGCGUUGGCCGGAGUGUAAGUUUCCGGCGAGUUCGAUGGCUUUGGAGGCGUUUUCCGGCCAAAACACGGUGAUUUAGAUGUCAUGUGAGGGGCAAUUAUUGUGACGUUUCUGUCUUCGCUAGUGGCGCAGUUUUUGGCGGCUAAGUACUGACUUAAGAUCAAGGCACCUAAUCCCGGCGUCAAGACACUUCCGCAGCAGCAUCUUUGAAUCCUCUUGAUCUUUUGUAUCAAUUAAUGACUUUCGUCACCCUCGGGUGUCGGUCAGCACGUGUCUAUCCUGAUAAAAUCAGGGUCGAGGUGUGUCAGAGGUGCUCGAGGGCGAGCUAGCGCUUGCAAACGAGGGAGCAUGCAUCACGGCUGGGCUUGGAGUCAAGUUGCCGGAAGACCUCGACUGAUCCGAUCGUGGCCUUGCAUUGCACCGUGGAGGUAAUUACACAGACAGAGAGAGGAAGAGAAGGCUAGCAGAAAUAAAGAGUGUGGUUGGACAUUUUUAUCCUCAUACUUAACUGAGUUUAACAGAAGUUUGUUUUUUUGGAGGUAAUUUUGCUAAUAAUCUUCACCACAAGUGUUUAAAUCCUAA